GUUGCCAAACUAUAUAUUCUGUUUUAAAAUUGUUCUACGCUAAUUAGUUUCCCUUAUUCAGCUUUCCCAAGACGGGUCCAUGGUAGAGUUUGGGGGAAAGACCCAAAGAGGCCUGCCUGGAGCAGCAGGGAGAGAGUUUUGCUCCACCCUCUGGGCUGUGGUUUGGAGGCCUCUUUGAUCUGGCAGAGGCAGCAGAAGACGGGAAGUUGCAAGCAUCAGGACCCUCGUGCUGGCAGGUCCUUGGGCACCCCACGAAGGGAGAGCGUGACAUGGUCCUCAUUUUCCUGGCAGCCCUGGUGGAACUGGCAGACUUUGGUCAUGCCCAAAAGGACUCUGUGCUCCAGUUCCCAGCAGAAAUGACCAUCCAGGUGGGACACAACGCGACUCUGCACUGCAACUUCUCCACCAGUGAUCCCAAUCCAUACAUGUUUUGGUACCAGCAGUGCCAGACUCAGUCCCCUCAGAUGCUGCUGCGGGUGGACAAAUGGAAACCUCAAGUGAAUUCAGAGAGGUUCUCCUCUACACUGUCUGUGGAGACCUCCCAGGUGUUUCUGCAUGUGCGGGAUGCCGAGCUCCAGGACGGCACUGCCUAUUUCUGUGCACUGAGCCCACAGCAGUGCCCACAGGGAAUCACCAGUGCUGGAGGGAGCCCCUAUGUUCCUGAGUCCAUGACAGUUUCUCUGUCCAACAGCUGGUAA